CUCUGUCAGUAUGAGACACACCACACCAUGAAAUGUUUCUUUUCCCCCCUCAAAAUGCACAGGUUGCCAGGAAAAAAAGGAAUAUGCAAUGGAGAUUGUUAAUAUGGAUAUAUCCUGACACAGCGUACCUUUUGAGAAAAUAAAUACACAACAUUUUGACCUGAAGGACAAUUAACAGUGCCAUGAAUUACUGAGGACAGGUAGAGUGGCAGGGUGCAGAGAAUCAAGCAGUCCAUCCUGAGAUCAUGCAAAGCCUUUGGAAACACAAUUCCAGUGAGUCCUGGCUAUAACACUUUUGAUGCCCACGUCACCAGCAGCAGUCCUACAAGCACCAACGGGUGGAUGCUGUGGGGGGGUCCAAGCCGCUCUGUGGAACAGUCUGCAGUGGGCUAGUAGGAUGAGAAGGUCCAGGGGUAGUUUGGGAAACGAGGAGAAGCAUCACCUCCCGAGACGGUAAACCUCCUGAAAAGGUAAUUCAUGGUAGGGCAUUGUUAUGCAAGUCAGCUUUUCAGGCUCCGUGGAUAGGCUGGAAUGCAUGGCAGAAAACUGGUAGAGAAGGGGAGCACAAGCCUCUGCUGUUGUCUGACAGUUCAUACACAGUCUUCUGAAUCCAGAGCUUCUUAAACUGUGCUGAGUUUCAGUUCCCAUCCUUGUGUGGGAGAGAAUUUAGAUGCUGCAUCUUACAAGGGUUUUCUUGUUUUCCUGUGGACCUGUUAGAGAAUACAAGUCACAAAUUUACAGUAACUUUCCAAGAAAUUCCUUAUUGGAAUGAAAACCCUGAAAAUACCAGCUUAUAAACUCUAUAACAAUUUAACAGAGUAAAAUGUUCUUUCACAGGGAGAGUUAAUAGCUGAAUUUUUAAAAGUACAUUAUCUUGUUUUAUUGGGUUCUUUCAAUCUCAGCUACCGUGCUUGUGGAGACUCUCUUCCUACCCUGAAACCUUAAUUAUGGGUGUUUGUGUUCCUAGCAUUUCAGAAGUCCAAGAGAAUGUGCAAACUAAAAAUCUGUCAUUCCUCAGAGUACCUGUAAUGCUUCUUCCUUCAUGUUAAAAGGCAGAGUUGAGGCAUGAAGCAUCAAAACAUUUUCUGCUGUCCCAAAAGCCCAGCUAUAGGUGUGUAUUUGAGCCCCACUAACUGAUCAUAUGUUCCUGCUGUAUACACAUUUCUUGGUUCUCAGCUAAAAUUAAGUUUGCUGAACAAACAGAUUUUGUUCACUCAUCCUAAACCGAUCAUUUCCCAUGGUACAUUUUGAAAUAUCUGACAGGCUGUCUUGUUUCUUUUCUUUAUUAAUGCAUCUUAAUGUAUGCAGAGUGCAAGAAAAAUAACAGUGGAAAAUCAUACUAGUAGAAAAUAAAAUGAGAUUUUUGAUGCA
rnacentral:lncRNA from 1 species